rnacentral:rRNA from 1 species
CGGAUCGUAAAGCUCUGUUGUUAGGGAAGAACAAGUACCGUUCGAAUAGGGCGGUACCUUGACGGUACCUAACCAGAAAGCCACGGCUAACUACGUGCCAGCAGCCGCGGUAAUACGUAGGUGGCAAGCGUUGUCCGGAAUUAUUGGGCGUAAAGGGCUCGCAGGCGGUUUCUUAAGUCUGAUGUGAAAGCCCCCGGCUCAACCGGGGAGGGUCAUUGGAAACUGGGGAACUUGAGUGCAGAAGAGGAGAGUGGAAUUCCACGUGUAGCGGUGAAAUGCGUAGAGAUGUGGAGGAACACCAGUGGCGAAGGCGACUCUCUGGUCUGUAACUGACGCUGAGGAGCGAAAGCGUGGGGAGCGAACAGGAUUAGAUACCCUGGUAGUCCACGCCGUAAACGAUGAGUGCUAAGUGUUAGGGGGUUUCCGCCCCUU